ensembl:snoRNA U3 Small nucleolar RNA U3
AAGACUAUACUUUCAGGGAUCAUUUCUGUAGUUUGUUAGUAGGGAAAUUUCUCUGAGCGUGUAGAGCACCAGAAACCACCAGGAGGAGGUGCCGCGUUCUCUCCUGAGCGUGAAGCUGGCUUUUGGUGUUGCUUUGCUGCAACUGCCACUUGCCAUUGAUGAUUGUUCUUCUCUUCAGAGGGAGAGGAUGCAGUCUGAGUGGC